GGAUUCCUGGGUAAAGCUAAUCUUCUCAGGGUAAGUCGGGGCCUAAGGCGAGGACGAGAGUCGUAGUCGAUGGACAACUGGUAGAGAUUCCAGUACUAUGUAUAAUCAGAACUGUGGGGACGCAGGAGGAUAGGUGUACCGCGGAAAGGGAAGACGCGGUCAAGCACAAAGUCGAGUUUGAAAGGCAAAUCCGUCAAACGAUGAUGAAGUGUGACGAGGACUGAAAAAGAGUAGGGAAGACACUGAAUCCACACUGCCGAGAAAAGCCGCUAUAGUGUUAUACAUACCCGUACCGUAAACCGACACAGGUAGAUGAGGAGAAAAUCCACAGGCCGACGGGAGAAGUGUUGUUAAGGAACUCGGCAAAAUGACCCCGUAACUUCGGGAUAAGGGGAGCCUACGCGAGUAGGCCGCAGAGAAUAGUCUCAAGCGACUGUUUAGCAAAAACACAGGUCUAUGCUAAAUCGAAAGAUGAUGUAUAUGGGCUGACGCCUGCCCGGUGCUGGAAGGUUAAGGGGAAGUGUUAGAGCAAUCGAAGCACUGAACUUAAGCCCCAGUAAACGGCGGCCGUAACUAUAACGGUCCUAAGGUAGCGAAAUUCCUUGUCAGGUAAGUUCUGACCCGCACGAAUGGCGUAACGACUUGAGAGCUGUCUCAACAACAUACCCGGCGAAAUUGAAGUACUGGUAAAGAUGCCAGUUACCCGUGAUAAGACGGAAAGACCCCAUGGAGCUUUACUGUAACUUGAUAUUGAAUUUUUGUAUUACAUGUACAGGAUAGGUGGGAGACAGAGAACUAAUGCCGCCAGGUGUUAGGGAGUCGAUGUUGGGAUACCACUCUUGUAAUAUGAAGGUUCUAACCUGCACCCGUGAAUCCGGGUGGGGGACACUGUCAGGUGGACAGUUUGACUGGGGCGGUCGCCUCCUAAAAGGUAACGGAGGCGCUCAAAGGUUCGUUCAGCACGGACGGAAACCGUGCAGUGAGUGUAAACGCAUAAACGAGCCUAACUGCGAGACCGACGGGUCGAGCAGUAACGAAAGUUGGAGUUAGUGAUCCGGCGGUAUGCAAGUGGAAGUGCCGUCGCUCAACGGAUAAAAGCUACCCUGGGGAUAACAGGCUGAUCUCCCCCA
rnacentral:rRNA from 1 species